rnacentral:rRNA from 1 species
CACCGGCCGCUCAAGUGGUGACCGCUUUUAUUGGGCCUAAAGCGUUCGUAGCCGGUCCGGUAAGUCCUUGAGGUAAAUCCUCAGAGCUUAACCUGAGGAAUUCCGAGGAUACUGCUGGACUUGGAGUUGAGAGAAGUCGGAGGUACCUCCGGGGUAGGGGUGAAAUCCUAUAAUCCUGGGGGGACCACCAGUGGCGAAGGCGUCCGACUAGAGUAAGCUCGACGGUGAGGGACGAAAGCCAGGGGCGCGAACGGGAUUAGAUACCCCGGUAGUCCUGGCUGUAAACGCUGCGCGCUAGGUGUUACGUCCUCUACGAGGGGACGUAGUGCCGAAGAGAAGUUGAUAAGCGUGCCGCCUGGGAAGUAUUACCGCAAGGUAGAAACUUAAAGGAAUUGGCGGGGGAGCACCACAAGGGGUGGAGUCUGCGGUUCAAUUGGAUUCAACGCCGGGAAACUCACCGGGGGCGACGGCAGAAUGAUAGCCAAGCUGACGACUUUGCUUGACGAGCCGAGAGGAGGUGCAUGGCCGUCGUCAGCUCGUACUGUGAAGCGUCCUGUUAAGUCAGGCAACGAGCGAGACCCGUGCCCUUAGUUGCAACGUCCUCCCAUAGGGGGGAUGGCACUCUAGGGGGACCGCCAGUGAUAAACUGGAGGAAGGUGCGGGCGACUAUAGGUCAGUAUGCCCCGAAUCCCCCGGGCUACACGCGGACUACAAUGGAUGGUACAAUGGGCUUCGACUCCGAGAGGAGAAGGAAAUCCCCAAAGCCAUUCGAAGUUCUAGAUUGUGGGUUGCAACUCACCCACAUGAAGCCGGAAUCCCUAGUAAUCGCGUGUCAUCAUCGCGCGGUGAAUAUGUCCCUGCUCC